rnacentral:rRNA from 1 species
UAAUAUAUCGGAACGUACCCUGGAGUGGGGGAUAACGUAGCGAAAGUUACGCUAAUACCGCAUACGAUCUACGGAUGAAAGUGGGGGCUUCGCAAGAACCUCAUGCUCGUGGAGCGGCCGAUAUCUGAUUAGCUAGUUGGUAGGGUAAAAGCCUACCAAGGCUUCGAUCAGUAGCUGGUCUGAGAGGACGACCAGCCACACUGGGACUGAGACACGGCCCAG